GUAUGCACAAUAUAUUUUUAUUUUUAUUACGUAAUCUUUAAAUUUUGAUUGUUUUGGUCAUCAGAGAGCUUCAGAACAGUUUCUUAAUUAUAUUGGUUGUAAUAAAAUAAUUAGAAAAUGUUUGUGUGUUAUAUUAAUAGUAUUGCGACGUAUCUGUUUCGUAACCGCAUUGUAUGCGGAAACUGCAGUGACGCAGCUGAUCUGAGAGAAGUAGCAUGUGCUUGGGAAGGGUCACGUCGACAAUUACAUACCUGAGUGAGAUAUAAAGUAGAACUGUAAAGUUUCAUUUGUAGGCGGUAAAAUAUGUGUCAGUGUUCUAGAAUGCUAACCAUUUAUAUAUUUCAUAUUCGACCAUAUCAUAUAAAACCUCCAGUCUCUCACUUCCAGGUUUAGUUGAAUUAUAACUGAAGUUUUCAAACUAAAACACUUCGCAGAGCGUGAAGUAACUUGACUUUUUAUCAUCAACAUUGGGACCUUGUGGACAACAUAAAUAUAGCAUGAAACAAAAUGGCGUCACUUGAGAAGCACCUUGAUUUUUCCAUGGUCAAGGAGAGAAGAACAGAAUUGAUGAACUGGUGGUUGAUUGUUUGCUUAGAAAUAAAGAAUCGAUAUUAAUUAACAUUCAAACAACAAACUUUUGAUGACCAGUUGUUUAGCUGCUUUCCAAAUUUGAAUGCAUCUUUGAAACCAACGAACGUUUUACAGGCUGCCAUGACGAAAUGCAAGAGGCUUCGGUAAGAUAAGUUCAUGGUACUGUUUUUAUCUGAUGAAAGAACCAUCUAGGUAAUAUUCUUGUUUGCUCAUUGGCUCACUUCGAAAGUCCCGGAUGAAACUUGGGAGUAGGCCGAGUACCACGCUGAGUUCCCAUAGGUCACGCUUGUGAACACAGCUGGUGGUAUCUCAGUGUAACCCCAAGAUGGACAUCACUCAUCGGACAGUCAUCUAGCUUCUCAACCUUCGGUUCACAUUAUACACACAUAAUAAGAAUUUAUGUAAAUCUAGGUUCUGUUAUCAGUUUAUCAGGUUUUUCUCAUAAAUUUACAGUUAGUGUUCUGUAAAAAAAAA